UACAGAGGUCCCAAGCGUUGUUCGGAUUCAUUGGGCGUAAAGGGUGCGUAGGCGGCGCGGUAAGUCGGGUGUGAAAUCUCGGAGCUUAACUCCGAAACUGCAUUCGGAUACUGCCGUGCUUGAGGACUGGAGAGGAGACUGGAAUUUACGGUGUAGCGGUGAAAUGCGUAGAUAUCGUAAGGAAGACCAGUGGCGAAGGCGGGUCUCUGGACAGUUCCUGACGCUGAGGCACGAAGGUCAGGGGAGCAAACGGG
rnacentral:rRNA from 1 species